rnacentral:tRNA from 1 species
GCCCGGGUAGCUCAAUCGGUAGAGCGUGUGGCUCUUAGUACUCUAACCUCAAGGUCGCGGGUUCAAGCCCCGCCUCUGGCU